rnacentral:piRNA from 1 species
CAGACUGCUGUUAACAGAUAAGU